UAUGCAGAGUAAAAAGGACCCGAGGGAGUACAUGGAAGGAGGGAGUAUGAUUUAGAUGUGACUUAGUUAAUUCUCAUCUAGAUGACAGCUAGCCACGUUGUCAAAUCUGUAUCAUUUCGAUUUAAAAAAAACCGUAUCAUCUCGGCUUGGGUUUCUUUGAGUUCCUUCUCUUUUGUUUCUGUGCGCACGCUACAACUUCGAUUUUCCAAAUAUUGAUCCUGUAGGUAGUUCUGGUUGCCAAUUCAGUGCCAACUUUGAAGUUGCAACUUAAGCUCCAAAGGGCGGCUUUAUAGUCGAUCUAUAUGGCAUUAUUGCUAGAUCCAGUGUCAGACACCUACCUCAAUUUUAAGUGAAAGGUACUUCGCUUCUAUAAAUUGCUGAUCCAAGUUGUUGGUACCUACUCAACAUCAUCUUGUUAUACUCUUUCCGUCCCAAUUUACGUCUCCCAUAUUUGUGUAGAUAUGGUUGUAUCUAAUAACAAUAAAAUCUACUUCGACCGUCCCAUAAUGUAAGACCCUUUUUGACACUGGUGUAGUGUCAAAGAGUAGUAAUUUGGGACGGAGGUAAUACAUGACUUGAGACAC